rnacentral:rRNA from 1 species
GACGAACGCUGGCGGCGUGCCUAAUACAUGCAAGUCGAGCGCAGGAAACUGACGGAACUCUUCGGAGGGAAGGCAGCGGAAUGAGCGGCGGACGGGUGAGUAACACGUAAGGAACCUGCCUCAAGGAUUGGGAUAACUCCGAGAAAUCGGAGCUAAUACCGGAUAGUUCAUCGGACCGCAUGGUCCGUUGAUGAAAGGCGCUUCGGCGUCACCUUGAGAUGGCCUUGCGGUGCAUUAGCUAGUUGGUGGGGUAACGGCCCACCAAGGCGACGAUGCAUAGCCGACCUGGGAGGGUGAUCGGCCACACUAGGACUGAGACACGGCCCAGACUCCUACGGGAGGCAGCAGUAGGGAAUCUUCCACAAUGGACGAAAGUCUGAUGGAGCAACGCCGCGUGAGUGAUGAAGGUUUUCGGAUCGUAAAACUCUGUUGUAAGGGAAGAACACGUACGAGAGGGAAUGCUCGUACCUUGACGGUACCUUACGAGAAAGCCACGGCUAACUACGUGCCAGCCGCCGCGGUAA